AUCGAUCCCAUCUAUCGUUUCCGCCGCCGCCGCCCCGAAAAAACUCCAUCAAUCCCCAUCCUUGCUUGCCCACUCCCAUCGAUCGUUGUCACCGCCGCCGCCGCCGUCCGAUGGGGGAGACGUCGCCGCUGUCGCCGCCGCCGUCCGAGGGGGAGACGUCGCCGCCGCCGCUGCAAGGUAUGGCAGUUUGAAUCCCGCCCCCGCCUCUGCAAGGCAGGGCGGUUUCAAUCCCACCGCCGCCGAACUCCGGGAAUCGCCGCCGCCAAGUCUCCAGGGCAGGGCGGUUUCAAACCCUGCCGACGAACACCGGGAUAUGCAUAAUCGUCGCUGCCGCCCCCUCCCCCGGCUGCCCCAUGGUCUUCUAUCUCUCCCAACUCCGCUGUCGCGCCCCGUCUUCCGUCUCUGCAUGAAUCGCUGUUGUGGCAGCCACUCCCCAUGGCGGCCAUCCGGGCACACCGUUUCCGGGAUGAUGGAGGUGAUGUCGGCCAGUUCCCUGUUUUUGUUGGCAUCUUCUGCGAUGGGACCCGUGGGGGCAGGUCGCGCGCUGCUCAUCUGCGUCGAUGGCGUCGGUGUCGUCCUUCCCCUGCCAAGCAUGGCAGCUCCUUGGCUGGAUCACAGUGAUGAUACAGUUGGCUCGGCGGCGGCUAAGGAUCUCGCAGGCUGGCGUUUAUUUGAUGUCUGGGUGUUCCAAUCGUGAUGGAACGGACGUAUAAUGUACAGUAUAAGAAUUUGGACGAGGCUCAUCUGCGUGGAUGGUUGUGGCUUGGCCGCCGGGCACACAAUCCAUUGAUUCACACAUAAGCUGACACAGACCGUAGCCAUCUACACCAAGGCUCCUCUGCCCUACCGAGUCUUGCAAGCGACCGUCGUAAGAAAUAUUCCGUGUGAUGCCGGCAUGUGUUGUUGUUGCACUGUCGCAACCAUCCAUCUACACACCAAAUGUCAAAACCGAGUCACGGUGUUCACAAUGCUGGGCAUUAUUUAUAUCGAAGGACGAGGAGGAAGAUUUGGAUGACCGUAACCACAAUGGCAAGGGCAGCAACAUGGUCGUCACCUGCAAUGCCGAUGGGUGCUGACAUUAUGAUGUUUGGUUUAUUUGUUGAAAGUUACAACCCAUGUUUCAUGAUUUAUUUGCCACCGGUUAAUCAUGGUAUUUUGAAGUGCUCUGACAAUUGCUUGCUGUCUGCAUCUCUUACUUUUCAACUUGCUGCAUAUACAGAUAUACACCAUUAGAAUCUGUUUGUAGAAUAUAUUUACUUAUUCAACAUGCUUCAGUUAUGCUUCUUUCAAAAUCCAGUUGUAGAUUGCAGUGAAGCCCCAUUUAGAUCUUGGCUAUAGUAUUAUUCUUGUCUUAUGACUCGUGACAGAUUGAUAUGUGAUACCAUGACAUAGCAUAUGUGGUACCGUGGUAGUCACAUUUGGUGGUAGUUCUGAUUGUUUGCUAGAUUACGAGAUAAUACCAAGUGCUUCUGCAACUCGGUUGCGGUUUUGAUAGGAACAUGAAGACUUGUGCCAUGCCAUGCAGCAUGUUUGAUUAAAAGGACAUAGUUGCUCCAAUAUAUUGAGCAGGAAGAAGUUUGUUACAAGUGUUUUAUAGAGUUGACGCCAGAGACAUCCGACGGGAUACAUUGGUGAAGGAAUCGAUGAAGAAGCUUCCGUUCAGCAUGGUAUCUCAAUGGAAGAAUAUCCGAAGCAAACCUCCGCUACUUCUCUGUUCCCUUUCAUUUGUCGUGGGAAGACCUUAGGAAGGUAGGAAGACCUUAGGAAGAGCGGGUGGGAGGAAGAGAGGCCUGUGCUAUAGAUGUAGGCGAACAAUGGUCCUUGGAAAUUAUUAGUACUCUACAAAAUGUCUGUCCCCUAUGAUGCCUACAAUGAGCGAGAGAGGGUGGAAGGAAGGGAGAGCGGAGGAAGGAAGAUGGGGAUAUAUGUAGAGAGAGGGAGAUAGGAGGAAGGGAGAUGGGCAUAUAUGUAGAGAGAGGAAGAUCAGAGAGGGAGGGGAGAUUUACAGGACGAUUGUCGUUGAGCCACUCAAAUAUUUUCGUGUUUCAAUGACGCAUGGAGGACGACGGUCACGAGCGCAUUGUCGCAAGCUCACAGGAGGGAGGCACACAUCUCAUCCGAUAUAAAAGCACGCUCCAAAGAAUCCCUAACCCUCCAUGGAGCCAUUGCUAGGGGGCGACGAGAUCAACGCCACCCAUCACGACCACCGAGAUGUAGAAGUGCGGUGAUUUCUUGCCUGGCGUAUAACAAUGUGUGUUCAAUGGGUCUCCUCUUCUCACGCACAAGUCUCAGAGGGAGACAACGACAGCUAUUCAGAAUAACCACAACAAAAUUGUUACACAGGUGGUUAGUGGGAGAAGGAACCUGAUACCGCAGCCGAUUCUGCAACAAGGGUGGUGCGUAGAAGAUAGUUGUAGCAAGCAUAUAUAUAAGUCACUCUGGAAAAAGUGUGUAGUUAUUGUUGUAAUAGAGAUCCAUUCCUAUAUUUUCACUGAUAUGCAUGGUUGAAUAGUACUAUGUGUGAUAUGUGAGAGUAAUGUAAUACAAAAUGAAACAUGGUGGAGAGGGCUUCGUGACUGAGCUGGCGAACAAAAUGUCAGUGGUGGAAACGGACAUGUUAUAGAAGAUGUUGAGGGUGGCACCGGAGUUAAUGGCCAAAUGGGGUUCCUCGGCACCGAAGAGAAGGAUGCUGCAGCGACACGUACUGGGUUCCAUUUCCAACCAGAGAAGAACUUAUGAAUGGUAUGUGCGCGAUCCAUUCAUUCUUUCGUUUGAUCCUUAUUCCCCUCAACUCAGAUUCAUUUUAUUUUGCACUUAUGCAUGAUUUUGAUGGAUCAAUAAAUUUAGUGGCAUUAAUUGCAAUGAGAAAUAUCAUAUAUCCAUAAACUUCACAUUGUUGUUGCUACGAGUCUGCUGGUCAGCUACUUCCAGUUAUCCUCAUCGAGAGUUGAUUGUCGGAUUUCACCAAGAAAUCAAAACAGAGGAAAACCCGCCGGUCUUACUACCGAUAGCAUCAAACAAGAAUAUGGGCACUAGAAAGGAGACGAUCCUAUCCACUAUCACAAUGAAACAAGAGAAACAAUUCCUUGCAGUCAUCUAUAAGGUCAGCAUGUUAGGGCUUGGUUGAUUCAUUUAUAUUGCUAUUUCUAUGCACACGUAAAUGGAUCUACGUAUCCACAAUUAAUUUGCUUACCCAUGUGAGUUUGGGGAUAUUUUUUCUCUUGUUAGGAUGCAUGUCAGAUUUAAAUUCUCUGAUAUCUAUGUAUGUAGUGUAAUUUUUAUUUGUAAAAACCUACUACCAGUCCACGCAUGAAGGUGCACUUAAUUUCUUAGUAUUUCUACGUGCAUUAUCUCUCUUGAAUUUACUUAGUAAUAGUAUUUUGUUAUUUGGGUCUGAAGAUACCAAUAUUGCAAAAAGUAAAUAAUUUGGGAGGAAAGUGAUUUGAACUUUAUACUGUUAAGGACAGUAAACCAAAUUGAUUUGUAUAGAGAUGUGAAUAAUCAAACCGAAAAAGGGGAGUUGAUUAGUAAGGAGACAUCUAGGAUGUUUCAAAUUCUGCCGAAAAGCUCAAUAUAAAUAUGUGUAGAUGUGUUAAAAUUUGUUCACUGAAUUUCUGGUAAUAUAAUUAGUACUACUCCCUCUGUUUCUAAAUAUAAGUCUUUUUUAGAUAUUCCACUGCGGACUACAUACGAAGCAAAAUGAGUGAAUCUACACUCUAAAAUAUGUCUAUAUACAUUCGUAUGUAGUUUGUAUUGAAAUCCAUAGAAAGACUUAUAUUUAGAACGGAGGGAGUAUAUGUUAUGGUGGAUAAAAAUUCUUUUAAAUACACUAUAUAUACUGUGUACUAAAUGGUGGAAUCGUUGGCCGCCUGCCGGCCUUGACUGACAUAGAGAGGGAGAACGCCCUAGAACGGAUGCUCGCGCAUUUGCGCCUCACCAAGGUUCACUGCCUCGCAUGCUUCCUAGGCCGAACUGAGAUGCCGUCUCGAGCCGCUGCGUUCUCGAAAAAAAAUCUCAGAUGCCAUUGUUCCAUUGACCUGAUUCUGAUUGUUUUGUAGACUAAAAUCGUGUUUUGAGAUCAUAUUCAUCAAGUGAGAGACACUUUCCAAUGUGCUAAGAUGUGCAGCUCAACAUCAUAGGAUUGUCACAUCUUGAAUUCUAGUUCUUAGAGCUUUGGUUUCUAACCCUUAUUUGCUUGUCUUGUCUUUUGUUUUACGGGUUUCAAGCUUCAGCACAAAUCUUCUGUAGGAAAUCUUGUACUCAUAGUGUAGAAAAAUGCCGUUUUUGUGAAAUGUCACAGGAGCUACAUUACUAACAUUGUUGUAAUGUUUGUAUGGCAUCCUAUUCUUUAAUCCGUUCAAUUACAGAGUUUAUGAUUAUGUAAAUGGAGUAUGGGAUCUGAGAAGAAAAAAAAGUUGCAUCCGAUUCAAGGAAGAUAAUGGACAAGUGCAUUGGUAUGAACAGGUCGUCGACUUUGACAGAAAAUGCAUACAGAUUAUCAGUUUUCCUGCUGAGUUGUACUAUUAUGCUACAGAAUACACAUCAGCUAUUAUGCUACAGAAUACGCAUAAUUAGUUACAGAUCAGUAGGCUACUCAUCUGGUUAGUUUUCGCAAGUCAUUUCUUUUGUGUGUAUAUAUGUUAUUUUCCUUUUUACACUAACAAGAGUUUCGUGCUUUCUGGUAUGGUGUGGUGCUCCCCACUUCAUUUAGUGAGUUCUUCCUUAAUGGAGGAUAUGGUAUAGGUAAUAGUGAGUGGUGUUCUAGCUUAUGCACUAUUUCCCCCUGGCCUGAGUUCCACACCAUAACAUGCCGCCGCCCCGGCCGCCGCGUCUGCCACGGCGCCGACGCCUCCCUGGCUCGCGGGACAUCCCCUCUAUAUAUUGUAACAGACUCCCAUGAAUACAAUUGAGUUGCAUCCUAUAAUCUUCUACAUGUGUCAUCCGGUUUUAAUGGACAGGUUCCAGCAAAAAAUGUCACGCUAUAGGGAAAGAGUGGGAAGGGUGUGUUGUAGGGUGGAAUUCUUGUGUUGGAACAACGUGUUGGAGAUAACAUGGUGAAUAGUCCGUACAACUAUAUUUCUUCCCCACAUAUGAGUUGGAUUUGGGGGAGCCCAGACGGUUGAAUUUGGGGAGUCUGCUGGGCACCCAUUUGAACACGGCCGAACGUAUGAGGGAGAAAUGAGCUUCGACUUGUUUAAUAUUGUACAAAAAAUAUUUGCUGCUAAUAAUGAGACAAGUUCUGAUUUGUAAAUGCAAUAUUCUUCCAUGUAUACAGAAUUACAGAUUGAAUGAAAUAUAAGCCAAAGUUGAAUCUCAA